AGGACGAACGCUGGCGGCGUGCUUAACACAUGCAAGUCGAGCGGAAAGGCCCUUCGGGGUACUCGAGCGGCGAACGGGUGAGUAACACGUGAGCAACCUGCCCUUAGCUUCGGGAUAGCUCCGGGAAACCGGAAUUAAUACCGAAUAUGACUUUGGCUGACAUCAGCAGAAGUGGAAAGUUUUUCGGCUAGGGAUGGGCCCGCGGCCUAUCAGCUUGUUGGUGGGGUAACGGCCUACCAAGGCGACGAC
rnacentral:rRNA from 1 species